CUGGGCCCAGAGCCAUUAAGUGUUUUUUGGAAUGAUUUGGAAGAUGAAGUUAAAUGUUCAAAGAGCUGACUGCUGCAGGACAGAUAUGCCUCUUAGGAGAAAACUUGUUAAUUCUGCUUCUAAACCAGGAACAGAAGCCACAGGAAGGAGAGAGCGAGCAAUGGAUGCAUUAAUGAACAGCUCGUUAGUUUCAUGCUGUAGCUCCAUGGGAAAUUAAGGAGUCUGGGUACCAUUUCUAGCCAGUCAUGGCAGUACUAUACAGCAAGAAGAUUAAAAUGAUCACAUCCAAGUUCAUUUGGUGAGUGUGGCUGUCUUACAUCUUAGAAUCCCUUGGAGGUGGUGAACCCCAAGGAAGAAUUGUGUCUAGCCUAGCACUGGAGCAUAAUAAUGGAGGAUCUUGUGGCUAAAGCAAGUUGAUGUCCCUGCACUUCAGUUAAGUCAGAGUGUUCCUGUCCACAACUGUCUUCAGGGAGAAAUCAAGAAAGCUGGGGAUGCCAGGCCAUUUCCAAAUAGAAACUGUGCCCCUCUUCCACAGGACAAGUACACGAGCCAAACUACCACCUUUUUUAAAGAAGUGGGAAAAGGAGCUGACAGAAGACACACGUUCUCCCAGUCCUCAGAAUGGCAACUGACAGAACUUACCGCAGGAACUCGGCUCAGGGAGAGCACCUGGAUAUCACAGAGGGUCUUCUGCACAGAGGUCAAGUAUUCACCUUUGUCAUAGGGCCCAGCAGAUUUCUCCAUGACAAGGUCCCGAAUGGUGUCCCUAAAACACAAAGAAGGUCACUGAGGAUACUGAAAGGAAUUUUAGUAAUGUGUUAGGAAGCUAAGAAGCAGUGACCUGUCUGUCCCCCAGAAAACAAUGUUAUUGAUGUUUUUAGAAGAUAUUAGUAUCUUGCAAUGCCAAAAACAAAACACCUCACUUCCCAUUCCCCUACACACACACACACACACACACACACACACACACACACACACACACACACAUACACCAUUCAACAAACAUAUUGAGCAUCACUAGACUGUCUUCAUAGUUUGGCACCAGGGCCCAGUGGGCAUUUUAGGGUAAAUUUCCCGUCAUGUUUGAAGAACCUAAGAAGAAGACUCCCAAGUAUUCUCACCAUCUUGCUGCUCUGCUUGGCUGGCUCAUUGAAUUGUUACAUUUGGGGGUUUGCUCUGUGCCAGACUCUGUGUUUUUUAGGUUAGACAGAUUUUUCUGUGCUAAGCAUUUUAUGUGAUGAUGUCAUUGAAUUCUCUCAAUAUAGCUGAAGUAGGUACUAUUAUUAUCCCCAAUUAGAGAAGAAGAACCUGAGCUUAAAAGUUACAUGAUAUGCUCUAAGUCCCUCUCUUUAGAAGGAGGCCCAGCCUACAGUACUAUCCUGCCUCUGGCAUGUUCAAUUUCAAGCUCUUUUCAACAUAAAUACAUCAGGCUGCUGCCCAUGGAGAGCACUUGAAAUAAAAGGGAAAGAAGACUGAGGUAACGUUCUCAUCAUGCAUUUAAAAACCUAUCACAUAAUAAAAGAAGCAGAGAAAAACUACACUAGUGGGAGGGACAGCUGUGGGAGUGGGUGGUGGGGGAAGGGUAUGCAUGCAGAUUCUAGCUUAUGGUAGGGUAGAAAUUUCUAAAAGAGCUUUAGCAAAGGAAUGAGAUACCUAAUCAAAAAGCAAGUUCUGAAAGUUCAGAGGCCUAAUUACUCCCUGUCAGGAUAUAACAAUAAUCAUACCUUUAUAUUGUGAGUUGUCAGAAUCAAAAUGGAGUCACUUGUGUCAGAUGCUAAUGAAAUAAAUAAAUAAAGCCAGGAAGCUGAGGGAGGGCCCUCAGGCACAGAUGCCUGUAAGAACUAUUGCAAAGACUCUCUGAAGGGCUCUUAUGUACAUAUGCCUGUAACAACAAUUUUGCAAAGGACUUUUCAAACAGUGGCUCGUGACGUGAGUCACAAGGACAGCUAGCCAGAUGUACAAGAACAUUUGCCUGCCACAGUCUUCACUAAUGAGCUGGCGUCAAUUCCUGCGAUAGCCACUAUAACCAGUGUUCUCUUUGUCUGAAAACAAAUUACAUACACUUUUUCCUUUUGCUUUUAAAAGCUUCCCCUUGCUUCAACCUCUUAGGAUAUGCCUAUGGUUCCUGCAGCCCACAAAUUUGCAGAUUCCGUGUUUUCCUAAAUAAAUUCAUUAUCUUUGUAGAAUCUCUCUCUGUUAUUUCAGUUAACAAUAUUUUUAAGGCAUUUAUAACUUAUAAAAUGCUUUUGUGAACAUCAUAUCAUUUUGAGUUUAGCCUAGAUUGACCAAUUAUCCCAGUUUGCCUGGAACCAAGAGGUUUCCUGAGACAUGGGACUUUCAGUGUUAAAACCAGGAAGUCCGUGACAAACUACAACAAGUUGGUCACCCUCGUUUAGCCCUCUCUGCAUCACUAUGAGGUAGUAAGGCCAGAUAUUCUCUUCAUUUGAUGCCGUGUUUCUUCAACUGUGGUCCCUGGUCCAGUGGCAUCAUCUGCAUCCCCUGGGAGUUUGCAAGAAAUGCAUGUUCUUGGGCCCCACCUCAGUCCUACAGAAUCAGAAUCUCUGGGGAUGGGCCCAGCAAGCUUCAUUUUCUGGUUCUGUGUGAUUCUGAUGCACAUGCAUGUUUGAGAACCACCAAUUUAAUAAAUUGAAUAAACAGAAGGGAUUUCUGAAUAGUGGGAAGUUGAGUUGAAUGGCCUCUAAGUUUCUCUUUUACAUCUAAGAUUCUAUGAAGUCUGGGCCCCUGGGACAAGAGUAGACACUACAUGCACGUGUUCAUACCAGGUAGCCUUGAAGUCCAC
rnacentral:lncRNA from 1 species